CAUAGGUAACUAACCACACCACCACGCUCAUAGGUAACUAACCACACCACCACCACCUUGUUCAUAGGUAACUAACCACACCACCACGCUCAUAGGUAACUAACCACACCAACACGCUCAUAGGUAACUAACCACACCACCACGCUCAUAGGUAACUAACCACACCACCACAACCUUAUUCAAGGUAACUAACCACACCACCACCACCUUGUUCAUAGGUAACUAACCACACCACCACUACCUUGUUCAUAGGUUACUAACCACACCACCACUACCUUAUUCAGAGGUAACUAACCACACCACCACUACCUUAU
rnacentral:lncRNA from 1 species